rnacentral:rRNA from 1 species
AGUCGAGCGAUCGAUGGGAGCUUGCUCCCUGAGAUUAGCGGCGGACGGGUGAGUAACACGUGGGCAACCUGCCUAUAAGACUGGGAUAACUUCGGGAAACCGGAGCUAAUACCGGAUACGUUCUUUUCUCGCAUGAGAGAAGAUGGAAAGACGGUUUACGCUGUCACUUAUAGAUGGGCCCGCGGCGCAUUAGCUAGUUGGUGAGGUAAUGGCUCACCAAGGCGACGAUGCGUAGCCGACCUGAGAGGGUGAUCGGCCACACUGGGACUGAGACACGGCCCAGACUCCUACGGGAGGCAGCAGUAGGGAAUCUUCCGCAAUGGACGAAAGUCUGACGGAGCAACGCCGCGUGAACGAAGAAGGCCUUCGGGUCGUAAAGUUCUGUUGUUAGGGAAGAACAAGUACCAGAGUAACUGCUGGUACCUUGACGGUACCUAACCAGAAAGCCACGGCUAACUACGUGCCAGCAGCCGCGGUAAUACGUAGGUGGCAAGCGUUGUCCGGAAUUAUUGGGCGUAAAGCGCGCGCAGGUGGUUCCUUAAGUCUGAUGUGAAAGCCCACGGCUCAACCGUGGAGGGUCAUUGGAAACUGGGGAACUUGAGUGCAGAAGAGGAAAGUGGAAUUCCAAGUGUAGCGGUGAAAUGCGUAGAGAUUUGGAGGAACACCAGUGGCGAAGGCGACUUUCUGGUCUGUAACUGACACUGAGGCGCGAAAGCGUGGGG